rnacentral:tRNA from 1 species
GUCUCUUUCGUCUAAAGGUUAGGACAUUGCCCUUUCAAGGCAAUAAUAGGGGUUCGAAUCCCCUAAGAGACA